rnacentral:rRNA from 1 species
UACGAAGGGGGCUAGCGUUGCUCGGAAUCACUGGGCGUAAAGCGCACGUAGGCGGCUCUUUAAGUCGGGGGUGAAAUCCUGGAGCUCAACUCCAGAACUGCCUUCGAUACUGUAGAGCUUGAGUUCGGGAGAGGUGAGUGGAACUGCGAGUGUAGAGGUGAAAUUCGUAGAUAUUGGGAAGAACACCAGUGGCGAAGGCGGCUCACUGGCCCGUAACUGACGCUGAGGUGCGAAAGCGUGGGGAGCAAACAGG